rnacentral:lncRNA from 1 species
UGUUUCUGAAGUGUCUAAAGAUGCAGAGGGGACUGCGAAGCGGGAAAUGCCCAGCAGAAGCAACCUCAGGGAAGAAGGGUGUUUGACUCAGUCUCUAGGAUUCCAUCUGCAGUGGUUGGGGGCUUGUAUGGUGAGAUGAAGCAUUCUGGAAACUGUCUACAAGCAACACAAGCACCCUUAGUCUGCUGAGAAUGGCUCCUGAGAAAUGUCAUGUAUUUCACUGUCAUUACGAGUCUCUCAAAUAACCAACUUCCACCACAGACCUCUGAUCUUCAAACACGUCCACUCAAUAAGGAGAUACAUAUGUAAUAAUUUAAAAAUCUUCCCCCCCCCCGUACUACAGCUAUUAAGUUGUUUGUGUGGGAGAAUGCUCCUCUUGUUCAGUAUUUGCCAUCUGAUUACUUCCAAACUGCAAAAGAUAAUGUAGUUUCCUUUAAUUGCCAAUUUUCUUUUAUGGUUGUUGUUUUUACUACUACAAUAAAGGUCUAAAACUGC